rnacentral:SRP_RNA from 1 species
GCCGGGCGCGGUGGCGCGCGCCUGUAGUCCCAGCUACUCGGGAGGCUGAGGCAGGAGGAUCGCUUGAGCCCAGGAGUUCUGGGCUGUAGUGCGCUAUGCCGAUCGGGUGUCCGCACUAAGUUCGGCAUCAAUAUGGUGACCUCCCGGGAGCGGGGGACCACCAGGUUGCCUAAGGAGGGGUGAACCGGCCCAGGUCGGAAACGGAGCAGGUCAAAACCAACAUAAAAGCAGGAAGACCCUUGUUAAAACUUAUUACCAACACUUUGGUGUCUGGAUUAUUUCC